GAGUUUGAUCGUGGCUCAGAUUGAACGCUGGCGGCAUGCCUUACACAUGCAAGUCGAACGGCAGCACGGGAGCUUGCUCCUGGUGGCGAGUGGCGAACGGGUGAGUAAUGCAUCGGAACGUAUCCUGGAGUGGGGGAUAACGUAGCGAAAGUUACGCUAAUACCGCAUAUUCUGUGAGCAGGAAAGCGGGGGACCUUCGGGCCUCGCGCUCUUGGAGCGGCCGAUGUCGGAUUAGCUAGUUGGUGAGGUAAAGGCGUCACCAAGGCGACGAUCCGUAGCAGGUCUGAGAGGAUGAUCUGCCACACUGGAACUGAGACACGGUCCAGACUCCUACGGAGGCAGCAGUGGG
rnacentral:rRNA from 1 species